rnacentral:rRNA from 1 species
CCUACGGGAGGCAGCAGUAAGGAAUAUUGGUCAAUGGGCGGAAGCCUGAACCAGCCAUGCCGCGUGCAGGAAGACGGCCCUACGGGUUGUAAACUGCUUUUAUACGGGAAUAAACCUCGAUACGUGUAUCGAGCUGAAUGUACUGUAAGAAUAAGGAUCGGCUAACUCCGUGCCAGCAGCCGCGGUAAUACGGAGGAUCCAAGCGUUAUCCGGAUUUAUUGGGUUUAAAGGGUGCGUAGGUGGCCUGUUAAGUCAGGGGUGAAAGACGGUAGCUUAACUAUCGCAGUGCCCUUGAUACUGAUGGGCUUGAAUAAACUAGAGGUAGGCGGAAUGUGACAAGUAGCGGUGAAAUGCAUAGAUAUGUCACAGAACACCAAUUUGCGAAGGCAGCUUACUAUGGUUUUAUUGACACUGAGGCACGAAAGCGUGGGGAUCAAACAGGAUUAGAUACCCCUGGUAGUCCCACGACCUAACCGACUAGAUACUACGUAUAGUUGGUCGAUAUACGUACGUAGACGUCGUAGACGAAGACGUUAAGUUAGUUACCGUACCGUACGGGUAGGUACGGACCGCCGAACGGUAGGUAACGUUAACGAAAGUAAAGUUAGUUAGGCGUUGAGACGNGCGACGGACGACGACGAGGGAGGAGG